UUGGCAGCGGCUGUAGAGCUGC
rnacentral:miRNA from 1 species